AUACAUAAGGCAUAGAAUACUCUGUGGGCAAUCAAUCUUUUUUUACGUCACAGAUCAUCGUUACUUUACCUCAUUUCUUUCACAGGCGAACGAUCGCGCUCGCGAAUUAUCAUAUUUUGAAACGUUUUUAAUGUAUCAAACCUGUUUGACCUAGAUUUCACGUCCGACAGCGAGGUAAUCUAACUUUUUACUUAAAUAUUCAUAUGGUGUGCAACGGUGUCACAUCGAAGAACUCGAAUUUCACUCGUAUUCGAGCACCUGAAACCCGAGCGCGAACGAGUUAAGGAUGCAAUUAAACAGAUUAAUCGACGAAUUUGUUUCAAGCGCUAGCUGUUACACGAUCUAUCCCUUUCUCCGUUUGGAAAUUCAAAGCAACCACUGUUGGAAAAAAGAAAGGAUUUCAGUUCCGCUCGUUUAAUGGAAUGAUAGAAGCAGUUUCAGAAAAGGCGUAAAUCGUCGAGCGAUGACGACGC
rnacentral:misc_RNA from 1 species